AAAUAAAUAAGUGAUAAAAAGAUGUUGGGAAAGUGUGGAUUGAGAAAAGUGAGAAAAUGUGGUUAAAAGGUGAAGAGGUGAUAUAAAAAGAAUGCAAGUGUAUGUCCCUAAGGGGAUGCAUCAAGUUGGGUACGGGGACUCCUAACUUUGUGACUUCAAUUUUCCCUUUGAUUAGAAAGGAUAACUAGCGUGCUAAAGCUAUUUUGUAGCCACACUCGCUCGUUUCCCUUAUCGAAAGGGGACUCUCAAGCAAAUGUACCCUAUAACUAGCAUGAGAUGCAAAAACCUAAAAAUGAGGAGAGAAGGGGUUCGAGGAUCAUGCCAAAUGAUAAAACUAAGAAAAAUGCAUGAAAUGUAGUGAACAUGCAAGUAUGCACUAAUGAAAGAGGGACGGCCUAUUGGGUCUAGCGUUGGACUAGCCCUUUCUUUGAAUUCCUAACGGAAUAAUGAGCCACAACUAGCAUUGGACCAGUGUGGUGACAUACAUUCAUCCAUCACAUUCAUCUACAACUAUAGAAAGCAAGUAGACAUGCCAAACACUCAUAAACACAUAGCACAUAACACUUAUAGCUAGUUUGGGAGAUGAGAUUUGAACAGAAAAGAAAGGAAUAGAAGAGAAAGACUGCAUCUCCCACGUUUGAGAGCUUUAAGUGGAAUGAAAGGAAAAGAAACCGACGGAAUUGGAAGGAGGAAAAAGUA
rnacentral:lncRNA from 1 species